rnacentral:rRNA from 1 species
GUGGGGAAUAUUGGGCAAUGGGGGCAACCCUGACCCAGCGACGCCGCGUGAGGGAAGAAGGCCUUAGGGUCGUAAACCUCUGUUGUGUGGGAAGAAGGAAGUGACGGUACCACACGAGGAAGUCCCGGCUAACUACGUGCCAGCAGCCGCGGUAAUACGUAGGGGACGAGCGUGGUCCGGAAUUACUGGGCGUAAAGGGCGCGUAGGCGGUCAUUUAAGUCAGCUGUGAAAUGGUCCGGCUCAACCGGAUCAUGCGGUUGAAACUGGAUGACUGGAGUGCUGGAGAGGCAAGUGGAAUGCCCAGUGUAGCGGUGAAAUGCGUAGAUAUUGGGAAGAACACCGGUGGCGAAGGCGACUUGCUGGCCAGCAACUGACGCUGAGGCGCGAAAGCCAGGGGAGCAAACGGGAUUAGAUACCCUGGUAGUCC